UUGGAGGGCAAGUCUGGUGCCAGCAGCCGCGGUAAUUCCAGCUCCAAUAGCGUAUAUUAAAGUUGUUGCAGUUAAAAAGCUCGUAGUUGAAUUUCGGAGUUUGUCGGUUGGUCGGGCUUCACUGUCCGCACUGACUUGAUGGAUUUCUACCUUCUGAAUAACCAGCAUGCUAUUAAGCUAGCGCGUUGGGGAAGCAGAUCUAUUACCUUGAAAAAAUUAGAGUGCUCAAAGCAAGCUAGUGCUUGAAUAGAUUAGCAUGGAAUAAUAAAAUAGGACGGCAUGGUUCUAUUUUGUUGGUUUCUAGGAUCACCGUAAUGAUCAAUAGGGAUAGUUGGGGCAUUAGGAUUCAAUUGUCAGAGGUGAAAUUCCUGGAUUUAUUGAAGACUAACUUCUGCGAAAGCAUUUGCCAAGGAUGUUUUCAUUAAUCAAGAACGAAAGUUAGGGGAUCGAAGACGAUCAGAUACCGUCGUAGUCUUAACCAUAAACUAUGCCGACUAGGAAUCGGGCGAUGUUGAUUUAAGGACACGUUCGGCGCCUUACGGGAAAC
rnacentral:rRNA from 1 species